GGGCGUUAAGUUGCAGGGUAUAGACCCGAAACCCGGUGAUCUAGCCAUGGGCAGGUUGAAGGUUGGGUAACACUAACUGGAGGACCGAACCGACUAAUGUUGAAAAAUUAGCGGAUGACCUGUGGCUGGGGGUGAAAGGCCAAUCAAACCGGGAGAUAGCUGGUUCUCCCCGAAAGCUAUUUAGGUAGCGCCUCGUGAAUUCAUCUCCGGGGGUAGAGCACUGUUUCGGCUAGGGGGCCAUCCCGGCUUACCAACCCGAUGCAAACUGCGAAUACCGGAGAAUGUUAUCACGGGAGACACACGGCGGGUGCUAACGUCCGUCGUGAAGAGGGAAACAACCCAGACCGCCAGCUAAGGUCCCAAAGUCAUGGUUAAGUGGGAAACGAUGUGGGAAGGCCCAGACAGCCAGGAUGUUGGCUUAGAAGCAGCCAUCAUUUAAAGAAAGCGUAAUAGCUCACUGGUCGAGUCGGCCUGCGCGGAAGAUGUAACGGGGCUAAACCAUGCACCGAAGCUGCGGCAGCGACGCUGAUGCGUUGUUGGGUAGGGGAGCGUUCUGUAAGCCUGCGAAGGUGACCUGUGAGGGUUGCUGGAGGUAUCAGAAGUGCGAAUGCUGACAUAAGUAACGAUAAAGCGGGUGAAAAGCCCGCUCGCCGGAAGACCA
rnacentral:rRNA from 1 species